GACGAACGCUGGCGGCGUGCCUAAUACAUGCAAGUAGAACGCUGAAGAGAGGAGCUUGCUCUUCUUGGAUGAGUUGCGAACGGGUGAGUAACGCGUAGGUAACCUGCCUUGUAGCGGGGGAUAACUAUUGGAAACGAUAGCUAAUACCGCAUAACAAUGGAUGACACAUGUCAUUUAUUUGAAAGGGGCAAUUGCUCCACUACAAGAUGGACCUGCGUUGUAUUAGCUAGUAGGUGAGGUAAUGGCUCACCUAGGCGACGAUACAUAGCCGACCUGAGAGGGUGAUCGGCCACACUGGGACUGAGACACGGCCCAGACUCCUACGGGAGGCAGCAGUAGGGAAUCUUCGGCAAUGGGGGCAACCCGGACCGAGCAACGCCGCGUGAGUGAAGAAGGUUUUCGGAUCGUAAAGCUCUGUUGUAAGUCAAGAACGGGUGUGAGAGUGGAAAGUUCACACUGUGACGGUAGCUUACCAGAAAGGGACGGCUAACUACGUG
rnacentral:rRNA from 1 species